rnacentral:rRNA from 1 species
ACGCUCGACACCUACGAGAGGCAGCAGUGGGAAUAUUGCACAAUGGGGGAAACCCUGAUGCAGCAACGCCGCGUGAGUGAAGAAGUAUUUCGGUAUGUAAAGCUCUAUCAGCAGGGAAGAUAAUGACGGUACCUGACUAAGAAGCUCCGGCUAAAUACGUGCCAGCAGCCGUGGUAAUCUGAGCGGGCUGGCAAGGC